rnacentral:rRNA from 1 species
GGCGAGAGACNGAUAGCGAACAAGUUACCGUGGAGGGAAAGAUGAAAAGAACUUUGAAAAGAGAGUUAAACAGUACGUGAAAUUGUUGAAAGGGAAACGAUUGAAGCCAGUCGUACCUAUGGGUAAUCAGCCUUUUGGGUGUGAUUUNGUGGAGCGUGAGGAGUUAAACGCCUUCAUGCCUGCAUAUUCGUGCACUUUGGGUGUACUUGCCCG